rnacentral:rRNA from 1 species
ACGGGGCCCGCACAAGCGGUGGAGCAUGUGUUUAAUUCGACGCAACGCGAAGAACCUUACCAGGGCUUGACAUCCCCUGACCGCGUAUGAAAGUACGUUUCACCUCGGGUGACAGGGAGACAGGUGGUGCAUGGUUGUCGUCAGCUCGUGUCGUGAGAUGUUGGGUUAAGUCCCGCAACGAGCGCAACCCUUAUCGUUAGUUGCCAGCGGGUAAUGCCGGGAACUCUAGCGAAACUGCCGGUGUAAACCGAGAGGAAGGUGGGAUGACGUCAAAUCAGCACGGCCCUUAUGUCCAGGGCUACACACGUGUUACAAUGGCCGGUACAGAGGGCAGCUACCUGGAGACAGGAUGCGAAUCUCGAAAGCCGGUCUCAGUUCGGAUCGGAGUCUGCAACCCGACUCCGUGAAGCUGGAUUCGCUAGUAAUCGCGCAUCAGCCAUGGCGCGGUGAAUACGUUCCCGGGCCUU